GCGCAGGCCCGGCUACCCUGCCCCCGCUCCGGCUCGGCCGCCCGGAAAUGCGGCUGCCGCCCGCAGUCCACUCGCCGCCCAGCGGCCCGGCCCGGCCCGGCCCGGCCCGGCCCAGCCGCCCCUCGGGCCUCCCGCGGUUCUUGAAGGGGCACGUGUCUGAGUGAAGAAACCAGGCUCGGAAGGUGACCUGCCCAAGCCGCCAGCCGGGCAGCAGCAGAGCUGUGGCUGGAACGCUGUGCCAGCCCCCGCCGGGAACUGAGGCAGCGAAGCCUCACCUGCACUCCUCGCUGCUCCAGGUGUUGGAUCAGACUUUUCCUCAUGAUGAGCCUGGUGGGGCGGGGGUGGCAAAGGUCAAGAUGAGGGGGACUGAGGAGAAGGGCGGAGGCAGGUCUCAUUGGGGACACUCCACCCAGCCGUCUCGCCCACCUCACCAUUUAGUAACCACGGCUGUCAGCUUGUUCAGCCCAGAGCAGGAGAAUGGGAAGUAGGUCCUGUGGAGAAGGGGUGUCGUGGUCAGUCCAUGCGUCUCUCUCCGUCACGGGGGUGGAGCGUGGGGGUGGUUGUGAUCCCUGACCAGUGAAACCUACCCCCCCGCUAAAAGAACCUUUGUAGCCCUGGCUAGUUUGGCUCAGUGGAUAGAGUGUUGGUCUGUGGACUGAAGGGUCCCGGGUUCAAUUCCCGUCAAGGGCUCGAUCCCCAGUAGGGGGUGUUCAGGAGGCAGCUGAUCAGUGAUUGUCUCUCAUCACUGAUGUUUCUAUCUCUCUCUCCCACUCUGAAAUAAAUUUUAAAAUUUUUUUUAAAAAGAACCUUUGCAGUUGCCCGGACAAAGAAUUCACCCUUUGUUCAGUGAGAUCCUCCUCCUAUAUCCUUGACUCCAUGCUUUGAGGGUGUGCCCAUCCCUCACUGUUUUUCAGAAGCGGAAACUCAGUCUUGGAGAGUUUGAUUAACUUGCCCGAGGUCACGUGCAAGUCUGUGGUGGGGCCAGGGCGGAAACCUAGCUAGAUUCCCAAGCUGGACACAGUCUGGAGGUCCUCCCGGUUGGGUCUGACCAGCUUCUGAGAACAGUCAGCGUUUAAUGGGUCGGCUCCUUGCCCCUGCUUGCCCCACCCCAGGGGAGACUUCAGAGCCCCUCCAGUGUCCCAGGGCAGGCUUGGGAGUCAGGCCCAGGGCAAGCCAGGCCCCGGACUUCUAGCCGUAUCACCUCGAGCAAGUUACAGAAGCUCUGAGCCUCAGAUUCUCCAUGUUCUGUGGGUCAUGAUUCCUAUAACUCCUGGGGGUGCUGCCAAGUAAAGCUCAACUGACGAAAGGAUGUGGAAACACUAAAUCCUGCAUAAACAUUCUAUAUACAAAGUUCUGUAGAAUAAUGAUGUCUUUGUUGCAAAGGGUUGUGGGGGCUGGCUGGGCGCUUCUCAUGACAGCAGAAAGCACUGGGCCACCACAGCCGAUUCUCUGAGAGCAGGUCUGGGGGAGGGGGGCGGCCCGAGAGCUGGCGAAGUAUCCACAUUCCUCAUACUUUACCCAGACGUUACUUUGUUAAUCCUUGUUUCCCCGCAGGAAAACACUUGCUUUUCCUUUGGGGCAUCAGAGUGAUGCUACAAUUAACAUGCGUCUCCCUGUACGCUGAGGGCCUUGCCCCACCCACACUGGUCUUUAUUACUAGUGUUCCUGCACCUGGAAGAGUCGGCAGUCAAUAAAUACUAGGUGGAUGAA